CCUACGGGUGGCAGCAGUGAGGAAUAUUGGUCAAUGGACGAGAGUCUGAACCAGCCAAGUAGCGUGAAGGAUGACUGCCCUAUGGGUUGUAAACCUCUUUUAUAAAGGAAUAAAACGAGGCACGUGUGCCUUUUUGCAUGUACUUUAUGAAUAAGGAUCGGCUAACUCCGUGCCAGCAGCCGCGGUAAUACGGAGGAUCCGAGCGUUAACCGGAUUUGUUGGGUUUAAAGGGAGCGUAGGUGGGUUGUUAAGUCAGUUGUGAAAUUUUGCGGCUUAACCGUGGAAUUGCAUUUGAUACUGGCAGUCUUGAGUACAGUAGAGGUAGGCGGAAUUCGUGGUGUAGCGGUGAAAUGCUUAGAUAUCACGAAGAACCCCGAUGGCGAAGGCAGCUUACUAGACUGUGACUGACAUUGAUGCUCGAAAGUGUGGGUAUCAAACAGGAUUAGAUACCCUAGUAGUC
rnacentral:rRNA from 1 species